UUCGCAAUGCCCGAAAGGGUGACGAUGCGACGCCGCGUGCGGGAAGAAGGCCUUCGGGUUGUAAACCGCUGUCGGGAGUUAAGAAAUGCAAGGAUAUUAAUAGUGUCUUUGCUUGACUAAGGCUCCGGAGGAAGCCACGGCUAACUCUGUGCCAGCAGCCGCGGUAAUACAGAGGCGGCAAGCGUUGUUCGGAAUUAUUGGGCGUAAAGAGCACGUAGGCGGCUAUGUAAGUCGGUUGUGAAAGCCUUCCGCUCAACGGGAGAACAGCAUCCGAUACUGCAUGGCUUGAGUGCGGGAGGGGAGAGUGGAACUUCUGGUGGAGCGGUGAAAUGCGUAGAUAUCAGAAGGAACGCCGGCGGCGAAAGCGACUCUCUGGACCGAAACUGACGCUGAGGUGCGAAAGCUAGGGGAGCAAACGGGAUUAGAUACCCCGGUAGUCCUAGCCGUAAACGAUGGGCACUAAGUAGAGGGGUUUU
rnacentral:rRNA from 1 species